rnacentral:rRNA from 1 species
AUACGGAGGGUCCAAGCGUUAAUCGGAAUUACUGGGCGUAAAGUGUACGUAGGUGGCUUGAUUAGUCGGAUGUGAAAGCCCUGGGCUCAACCUGGGAACUGCAUUCGAUACUGUCAGGCUAGAGUAUAGUAGAGGGAAGUGGAAUUCCGGGUGUAGCGGUGAAAUGCGUAGAUAUCCGGAGGAACACCAGUGGCGAAGGCGGCUUCCUGGACUAAUACUGACGCUGAGGCACGAAAGCUAGGGGAGCGAACGGGAUUAGAAACCCCGGUAGUCC